rnacentral:rRNA from 1 species
GUGUCAGCCGCCGCGGUAACACGUAGGGCGCAAGCGUUGUCCGGAAUUAUUGGGCGUAAAGAGCUCGUAGGCGGUCUGUUGCGUCCGCUGUGAAAACCCGGGGCUUAACCCUGGGCUGGCAGUGGAUACGGACAGACUAGAGGUAGGUAGGGGAGAAUGGAAUUCCCGGUGUAGCGGUGAAAUGCGCAGAUAUCGGGAGGAACACCGGUGGCGAAGGCGGUUCUCUGGGCCUUACCUGACGCUGAGGAGCGAAAGCGUGGGGAGCGAACAGGAUUAGAUACCCUUGUAGUCC